UCACCUCUUCCCAUCCCGAACAGAGAAGUUAAGCCCGACUGCGCAGAUGGUACUGCAAUUUGUGGGAGAGUAUGUCGUCGCCUUUC
rnacentral:rRNA from 1 species